UACGUAGGGUGCAAGCGUUAAUCGGAAUUACUGGGCGUAAAGCGUGCGCAGGCGGCUUUGCAAGACAGAUGUGAAAUCCCCGGGCUUAACCUGGGAACUGCAUUUGUGACUGCAUGGCUGGAGUGCGGCAGAGGGGGAUGGAAUUCCGCGUGUAGCAGUGAAAUGCGUAGAGAUGUGGAGGAACACCGAUGGCGAAGGCAGCCCCCUGGGUCAAGAUUGACGCCUCAUGCACGAAAGCGUGGGGAGCAAACAGG
rnacentral:rRNA from 1 species